UUGCUAUAAAUUGCAGUCUAGCAAUCAUGAAUCAGGAUUUCUCGAAAAAGGCAUUGAAGUUGGACCAGGUCCAACACUAUGUGCAGGAGAUCAUGAGAACUAUGACUUAUUAAGCAACCAGGAUGUCUUCAUACAUCAAACUACUUCUAUUGCCAGGUAUACUUUAAAAAUACUCACUGAAACUUGAGUGAAAUACGCAUGGCAAAGCUUUUAUCAAUAAUUGAAAAGACCAAAAUGGAUUUCAGUUCAUGGUACGAAAUUCAAAGCUGGAUGUGUUUUGUGGGUUAGUCAUGACAAAGAAGAAAUGCCAUGUUUUGUGAUAUUGAAAGAGAUUUUGGUGGUAGAAUGGAAUUUGGA